AGGAUGAACGCUGGCGGCGUGCUUAACACAUGCAAGUCGAACGAUGAAGGCUGGAGCUUGCUCUGGCUGGAUUAGUGGCGAACGGGUGAGUAACACGUGAGUAACCUGCCCCCGACUCUGGGAUAAGCGCUGGAAACGGCGUCUAAUACCGGAUACGAGCUUCCGCCGCAUGGUGAGGAG
rnacentral:rRNA from 1 species